UCAAGGAGAGACUGCAAAUGUUCUUUCUUGUCAAAAAAAGAAGUGUAUGUAUGAAAUAAAAAAAAAAAAAACACAACCUUUUUUUUUUUCCCCCUGAACUUUCAUGGGAAAGUGCAUGUAACAGUGUAUCAACAAUCCUCCUAAUUGGUUUUAAAUUAAAAUAUACUUAUUGCUGCUUUAUACUGACAUAUCAUUGCAGGGGUUAAUUGGAAAUCUGUAGCUGGCUAAAAAAGAAUUGAUCUGUUGUUUCCACAGCUCCCUCUAGGCAGCAGCAGUAAUCCACACAUGAUUUAGGGAAUUCUUACUACAGUCAAACCGAAAGCAACAUUGUACAUGCAGCACAAAUACAGCCUUGGUGCUGCUUUGUAUUUCAGUGCUAUUGAGUUUGUGUCAGCAGCAAGCCAGGGAGAAAAGAAACAUCCAGAUAACACCUCAGAAUUUGCAGUGAGAAGUUUUUUGUCAAAACUCGUAUUACUACUUAGGUUUGAUUUGUUGCAGCUUUGACUUCACAGAAGACAUGGAGUACUGUAACUUUUCUUCACUUUUCAAAGAAAAACCACUGUAAUUUCAGCUGAAACCAGCACAGGUUUGGCAGUCCAGCCAGUUAUCAGUCUCAGUGUUUGAAGCAGGGAGUCUCUUCUUGGCAGCAAAGCAGGUCUUAUAAAAAUAUCACAGUAUAUAUGCAAGUAACAAUCCAACAAUUUCAAUCACUUUGUAAUGACUGUUUAGAGAGCUCUUAGAUAUGGGUUGUUAAUGAAGUUGGUGUUCACAACAGAUUUCAUUCCUUAAAAGAGAGAAGAAAAAUAGAGAACCCAAAGGAGACUCCUCAUCACAGCUGCAUUUUGAAUAGCUGAGAACCAAAAAUUAAUGUGCUCCUUCUCCUCGAACUCGUUAACAAAGCUUCACAAGCUUCAGCAGAACUGUUGAAGGUAUGCAGCAGUAAGGAUAUGAUGUCAGAUGGCCACGCAGACAAGCCCUGUCAUUGCAUAUAAUCUGGAUGGCACAGAGAAGUCCUCCCCAAAAAGCAGAAUGCAGAGUGCUCCUGUUGCUUGAAGACUUGCUCGUGCCCAGUGGCAGGAACAACAGAAUCUCCUGAGGAAGCAGCUUUUCAACCCAUUGUGCCACCUGUAGCCUCAGAGGGAAGAUGUGCAGUGCUAUGUUUGGGAGCUGUACAACACCCCAAAUAUAACAGAAGAGUGCACCUUGCUUGGAGACUGUAUUUAUUGUGACCAUGUGAUAUCGUAAUGGAAAUCCAGGUAAAGCUCUAUCAACUGAAAAAUGUCUUUCUGACCAGGAACAAAAUGAGAAAGGGCUUCUCUGGUGCCAUCUGCAAUAUUCAGAAAAAUGCCUUAUUAUCCAAAUUCUAAUAAAAAAAAGGCUGCCAUGUGACCAA